AUACUUAACCCUGGGGGAGACACCCUGAUCAGGAAGGUGGUUUUCCCGGGGCAAGGCUCCUCCACUGAACUUGGGAUGUGCUAACCCCUGGGAUUUCCCCAAACGGCAGGAAAUUCAACUGCAUAAUUUGUGGUAGGUGGGGAGGGAUGGGUAGGGUACUGCGUAUUCACCCCCAC
rnacentral:snRNA from 1 species